GAUGAACGCUGGCGGCGUGCCUAAUACAUGCAAGUCGAGCGAACAGACGAGGAUCUUGCUCCUCUGACGUUAGCGGCGGACGGGUGAGUAACACGUGUAUAACCUACCUAUCAUUCUGGUAUAACUUCGGGAAUCCGGCGCUAAUCCCGGAUAAUAUAUUGAACCGCAUGGUUCAAUGGUGAAAGUCGGUUUUGCUGGCACUUAUAGAUGGAUCCGCGCCGCAUUAGCUAGUUGGUAAGCUAACGGGUUACAAAGGCAACUAUGCGUAGACGACCUGAGAGGGGGGUCGGCCACCAUGGAAGUGAGACAGGGUCAAGACUCCUACGGGAGGAAGCAGUAGGGAAUCUUCCGCAAUGGGCGAAAGCAUGACGGAGCAACGGCGAGUGAGUGAUGAAGGCCUUCGGAUCGUAAAACUGUGUUAUUGGGGAAGAACAAAUGUGUAAGUAAAUAUGCCCGGAUUGACGGUAACUAAUAAGAAAGCACCGGCUAACUACGUG
rnacentral:rRNA from 1 species